rnacentral:lncRNA from 1 species
UGAUAUUAGAAUGAAACCAAUUUUAAGCCAAAGUGAGACUGGACCUAAUAGUUACAAAUUUGACAGUCAUGAGACAAUUAAAAUCACAGUCCUGCAUUAAAUUUCACAAGACAGACAAGAAUAUAAAUAUGCUAUUAACCAAGUUGCAAAAUUUUCUGAACAUACAGAUCUAAUAAAACAAUAAAGCAACAUCAUAAUCCUAGGCUUCAACUUCAUUUCAUGCUUUCGGUAGGAGGUAUUACAUCAAAUAAAACCUCGAAGUGUACCUGGAUCUCGAACAAAAACAAGAAGAAGAGAAUAUCAGUAGCAACUGAGGCCAAGCAGCUGGUUAAUAUCAAAUUCACAGCCCAAUAAACAUCAGCAAAUUAUCCCGCAUUUGAAUUUUAAAACACAGCACCAACACAACAAUAUGACUAAGCAACAAACAAACAGGUCAAGAAAUCAGUCACAACAAGUAAUUAAACCAACAACUAACUCAAUUCAAACCAAACAGGUCCAGAAGCCAACUAACUCUAAUUUUUUUCUAUUAUCAAAUUAUAGUCUAAGUGAUGUAAUUUCAAGGCUGAAGCUCAAUGUUGACUGGAAAUUCCAUUGGAACAGUAAUCCUGAAAUUUUUUUUUCCAGUUUUCUCAUGAUUUUCUAUUGUUUUGGGGUUUUGAGUGUUUGAAUUUAAAAUUAAAUAGAUAUGGAAAUUAGAGAGAGAUUUAGGGGGAGUUUUUGAGCUUCCAAAACCUGUUCAGCCUUUUUAUAGGCGUAAGGGAGGGCAUCCCUCGAUUUUGCAUUUUCCGUAUUAGCCCCUCCCUUUUUCAGCUUUAAUCCCUUAUUUUUAACUUGUUACCCAAGCUAGUGCCCAAAGUUGGGUUAAAUCUACACUAAAGUACUACUCUAGAAGGCCCUAGGGUGUUUUUAUACCCAUACAACACUUAUACUACCCUUGCUUGGUUUUGAAUUUACUAUUCUGCAUAAAACAACCAUUUUCUCUGCCCAAACUACCCUUAUUUACCCCGUGACAUUAAUACCUAACCAAAAUCCAUUUUUCCUUAAUUAGGAAACACCUUUGAGUAAUCAAGAAAUGAGUUUAUUCAGGUAUAUCUAAACCUUAAGCCUAAGUGAAUUGCAACUGAAUACUAGAUUGAAAGAAUAAUUAAAACUAAGCUUUAAAAAUUAACUAAAUUAAUCAAACAACAAUCAAAUACUAAUCAAAACAGAUUUACAACAAAAAUUAAUCAUGAAACGAAAUCAAUUUUCUAAGUAAAACAUUUAUCAGAAUCGCCAAUAUUUAACUAAACUAUAAUAAAAUCUAAUUACACUACCAUUUGAAUCCAUCAUGAACCAAAUACCAAUUACUACAACUUAGAAUCAAUUUAACAACUGAAACAAACUGAAUAUGCCAACAUCAAAUUACCGAAAAUCAAUAAUUAAAAGCGGAACAGAGACAACAAAAAAGAGCUUAAACGAAACAGGAAAUGAUUAUUAAGAAUCUAGUAAAGGCUAAAACUAACAAUGGCAUUUAAAGAACCAAACAGAAAAAAUGAAAAAAACUUACUAAAUUUGGGUGUUAAUGCAUUAAUCUUGAAAUCGACCCUAAAAAUGAUAUUAUAUACUUAUUCCAACUCAAAUAAAUGCAUGAUAUCAUUUUUAGAGUCAUUAGGCACUGAUAAUAAUGCGACGCCCUUUUAUCCUUUCUUGAAACCCCAGAUUAACAAACCGGUGAGCUCUGGUGGUGUUUGACGACAACCAAGUGGUGAUUCGUGAAGAAAGAGAGCAGGUGAGUCAGUGGUGUAAGUUUGGAGUGAUUUGGAAGAGGUGGCGACGUGGCAGGAAAACUUUGGACAAAUAUUCAAGAAAUUUGAAUGUGAUUCGAAGGAAACCAGUCACAAAUUUAUGUAGAGGAAGAGAGGGAGAAUCUGGGGUGUAAUUUUGGAGCCGAUUGGAGUAUAUGACGUUCACCGCCGGCGGCCGCUCCGGCGGUAUUACAGGUUCAGUACGACGAAGAUGAAGACUGUAUGGGGUAUAAUUACCCUAUUUCGGAUAGCAAUAUCUAAAGGGGAGUGGUUCCUGGUCGUCGGAUCAAGGGAAAUCAAUGGCCAAGAUCAAACGUUCCCAAACGCCGUUGUUAAGCUCACUGAAUAACGGACCCAGG